rnacentral:rRNA from 1 species
UACGGAGGGUGCAAGCGUUAUCCGGAUUCACUGGGUUUAAAGGGUGCGUAGGUGGGAAUGUAAGUCAGUGGUGAAAUCUCCGUGCUUAACAUGGAAACUGCCAUUGAUACUAUGUUUCUUGAAUCUUCCGGAGGUCAGCGGAAUAUGUCAUGUAGCGGUGAAAUGCUUAGAUAUGACAUAGAACACCAAUUGCGAAGGCAGCUCGCUACACGAAUAUUGACUCUGAGGCACGAAAGCGUGGGGAUCAAACAGG